GCAAGUCUGGUGCCAGCAGCCGCGGUAAUUCCAGCUCCAAUAGCGUAUAUUAAAGUUGUUGCAGUUAAAAAGCUCGUAGUUGAACCUUGGGCCUGGCUGACCGGUCCGCCUCACCGCGUGCACUGGUUCGGCCGGGCCUUUCCUUCUGGGGAGCCGCAUGCCCUUCACUGGGUGUGUCGGGGAACCAGGACUUUUACUUUGAAAAAAUUAGAGUGUUCAAAGCAGGCCUAUGCUCGAAUACAUUAGCAUGGAAUAAUAGAAUAGGACGUGUGGUUCUAUUUUGUUGGUUUCUAGGACCGCCGUAAUGAUUAAUAGGGAUAGUCGGGGGCAUCAGUAUUCAAUUGUCAGAGGUGAAAUUCUUGGAUUUAUUGAAGACUAACUACUGCGAAAGCAUUUGCCAAGGAUGUUUUCAUUAAUCAGUGAACGAAAGUUAGGGGAUCGAAGACGAUCAGAUACCGUCGUAGUCUUAACCAUAAACUAUGCCGACUAGGGAUCGGGCGAUGUUAUCUUUUUGACUCGCUCGGCACCUCACGAGAAAUCAAAGUUUUUGGGUUCUGGGGGGAGUAUGGUCGCAAGCUGAAACUUAAAGGAAUUGACGGAAG
rnacentral:rRNA from 1 species